rnacentral:rRNA from 1 species
AAAAAUGAUUCCCCANUACUGCGAGUGAAGAGGGACAGCUCAAAUUUUAAAUCUGUCGGGUUCUCCUGNACCGAGUUGUAAUUUGAAGAAGCGUUUUCCGCGCCGUUUGAUCAGCCCAAGUCUUAUUGAAUGAGGCAUCAUGGAGGGUGAUAAUCCCGUUCGGUUGAUCAAUUGUGCUUUACGAUACGCUUUCAAAGAGUCAAGUUGUUUGGGAUUGCAGCUUAAAAUGGGAGGUAAAUUUCUCCUAAGGCUAAAUAUUGGCGAGAGACCGAUAGCGAACAAGUACCGUGAGGGAAAGAUGAAAAGAACUUUGAAAAGAGAGUUAAACAGUACGUGAAAUUGUUGAAAGGGAAACGAUUGAAGCCAGUCGUACCGGCGGGUAAUCAGCCUUUCGGGUAUGAUUCUGUGGAGCGUGAGGAGUUAAACGCCUUCAUGCCUGCAUAUUCGUGCUCUUGGGUGUACUUGCUCGUGUGGUUGGUUAACAUCAAUUUCGGAUAUCAUAAAAUGGCUGGAGGAAUGUAGCUUCGAUUUCGAUUGAAGUGUUAUAGCCUUCGGCAGAUGUGAUGGUCGUGAUUGAGGAUUGCAACGGAUACCCUUCGGGGCUACCUGUCUGAUCUCUGAUCGUUGCUCUGGUGCCGAAAGCGUGCUUACGGUUAUCAAAGUCGAUGGUCAAUAGGUUAGAAUGGGUUAAAUUCGUUAAGGAUGUUGACGUA